rnacentral:rRNA from 1 species
AUGUCAGUUGAUAAUAAUAAAAAGAUCUGGAAGAUAAAGAUACAUCUUAAGAAUAAAAUCUUUGCAUGGUAUCUUCGUCGCGGAGUCAUUCUUACAAAAGAUAACCUUAUUAAGAGAAAAUGGUAAGGAAGUUCGCAAUGUGUCUUUUGUCACCAUGAUGAGACAAUAAAACAUUUAUUCUUCCAAUGCAAAUUGGCUCGUUCUAUAUGGUCAGUCAUCCAAAUAGCUUCUGGCUUGUAUCCUCCUUGUAGUGUUGCUAAUGUAUUUGGCAACUGGUUACAUGGGAUUGAUCACAGGUUUAGAACUCUUCUCAGGGUGGGAGCGCUAGCCGUUAUUUGGUCGCUUUGGCUAUGUAGAAAUGAUAAGCCUUUAAAACAAAAGUCAUCUUUUGAUCCCGAGUUCAUAUCCUCCCGCAUGAACAGUAAAACUGAAAAAAUAUCAAAAAAAAUUCAAAAAAUUCCAAUUUUUUUUGAGAGAAACAUUGACAAAAGUUCUAAGUGCCUGCAAAAAUUCAUCAUGAAAUCACUUUCCUGUAAGGCGUGGCAAAAAAAACAAAUUCAAUGCUUCAAAAUGCUUUUGAAAGUAGCUUUUUCAGAGUACUGUUUUUGUUUUUUUUGCCAUGCCUUCUAG